rnacentral:rRNA from 1 species
AACGAACGCUGGCGGCAUGCCUAACACAUGCAAGUCGAACGAGACCUUCGGGUCUAGUGGCGCACGGGUGCGUCACGCGUGGGAACCUGCCCUUAGGUUCGGAAUACCUCCCCGACAGGGGUGCUAAUACCGGAUAGUGUCUUCGGCCCAAAGAUUUAUCGCCUUUGGAUGGGCCCGCGUUGGAUUCGCUAGUUGGUAGGGUAAAAGCCUACCAAGGCGACGAUCCAUAGCUGGUCUGAGAGGAUGAUCAGCCACACUGGGACUGAGACACGGCCCAGACUCCUACGGGAGGCAGCAGUGGGGAAUAGUGGAAAAUGGGCGAAAGCCUGAUCCAGCAAUGCCGCGUGAGUGAUGAAGGCCUUAGGGUUGUAAAGCUCUUUUACCCGGGAUGAUAAUGACAGUACCGGGAGAAUAAGCUCCGGCUAACUACGUG